rnacentral:rRNA from 1 species
AAUCCAUAGGUUAAUGAGGCGAACCGGGGGAACUGAAACAUCUAAGUACCCCGAGGAAAAGAAAUCAACCGAGAUUCCCCCAGUAGCGGCGAGCGAACGGGGAGGAGCCCAGAGCCUGAAUCAGCAUGUGUGUUAGUGGAAGCGUCUGGAAAGGCGCGCGAUACAGGGUGACAGCCCCGUACACAAAAGCGCAUGUGCUGUGAGCUCGAUGAGUAGGGCGGGACACGUGGUAUCCUGUCUGAAUAUGGGGGGACCAUCCUCCAAGGCUAAAUACUCCUGACUGACCGAUAGUGAACCAGUACCGUGAGGGAAAGGCGAAAAGAACCCCGGCGAGGGGAGUGAAAAAGAACCUGAAACCGUGUACGUACAAGCAGUGGGAGCACCCUUUGGGUGUGACUGCGUACCUUUUGUAUAAUGGGUCAGCGACUUAUAUUCUGUAGCAAGGUUAACCGAAUAGGGGAGCCGGAGGGAAACCGAGUCUUAACCGGGCGUUAAGUUGCAGGGUAUAGACCCGAAACCCGGUGAUCUAGCCAUGGGCAGGUUGAAGGUUGGGUAACACUAACUGGAGGACCGAACCGACUAAUGUUGAAAAAUUAGCGGAUGACCUGUGGCUGGGGGUGAAAGGCCAAUCAAACCGGGAGAUAGCUGGUUCUCCCCGAAAGCUAUUUAGGUAGCGCCUCGUGAAUUCAUCUCCGGGGGUAGAGCACUGUUUCGGCUAGGGGGCCAUCCCGGCUUACCAACCCGAUGCAAACUGCGAAUACCGGAGAAUGUUAUCACGGGAGACACACGGCGGGUGCUAACGUCCGUCGUGAAGAGGGAAACAACCCAGACCGCCAGCUAAGGUCCCAAAGUCAUGGUUAAGUGGGAAACGAUGUGGGAAGGCCCAGACAGCCAGGAUGUUGGCUUAGAAGCAGCCAUCAUUUAAAGAAAGCGUAAUAGCUCACUGGUCGAGUCGGCCUGCGCGGAAGAUGUAACGGGGCUAAACCAUGCACCGAAGCUGCGGCAGCGACACUGUGUGUUGUUGGGUAGGGGAGCGUUCUGUAAGCCUGUGAAGGUGUGUCGUGAGGCAUGCUGGAGGUAUCAGAAGUGCGAAUGCUGACAUAAGUAACGAUAAAGCGGGUGAAAAGCCCGCUCGCCGGAAGACCAAGGGUUCCUGUCCAACGUUAAUCGGGGCAGGGUGAGUCGACCCCUAAGGCGAGGCCGAAAGGCGUAGUCGAUGGGAAACGGGUUAAUAUUCCCGUACUUGGUGUUACUGCGAAGGGGGGACGGAGAAGGCUAUGUUGGCCGGGCGACGGUUGUCCCGGUUUAAGCGUGUAGGUGUGUGUUCCAGGUAAAUCCGGUUCACUUUAACACUGAGGCGUGACGACGAGGCACUACGGUGCUGAAGCAACAAAUGCCCUGCUUCCAGGAAAAGCCUCUAAGCAUCAGGUAACAUCAAAUCGUACCCCAAACCGACACAGGUGGUCAGGUAGAGAAUACCAAGGCGCUUGAGAGAACUCGGGUGAAGGAACUAGGCAAAAUGGUGCCGUAACUUCGGGAGAAGGCACGCUGACACGUAGGUGAAGUGAUUUACUCAUGGAGCUGAAGUCAGUCGAAGAUACCAGCUGGCUGCAACUGUUUAUUAAAAACACAGCACUGUGCAAACACGAAAGUGGACGUAUACGGUGUGACGCCUGCCCGGUGCCGGAAGGUUAAUUGAUGGGGUCAGCGCAAGCGAAGCUCCUGAUCGAAGCCCCGGUAAACGGCGGCCGUAACUAUAACGGUCCUAAGGUAGCGAAAUUCCUUGUCGGGUAAGUUCCGACCUGCACGAAUGGCGUAAUGAUGGCCAGGCUGUCUCCACCCGAGACUCAGUGAAAUUGAACUCGCUGUGAAGAUGCAGUGUACCCGCGGCAAGACGGAAAGACCCCGUGAACCUUUACUAUAGCUUGACACUGAACAUUGAGCCUUGAUGUGUAGGAUAGGUGGGAGGCUUUGAAGUGUGGACGCCAGUCUGCAUGGAGCCGACCUUGAAAUACCACCCUUUAAUGUUUGAUGUUCUAACGUGGACCCGUUACCCGGGUUGCGGACAGUGUCUGGUGGGUAGUUUGACUGGGGCGGUCUCCUCCUAAAGAGUAACGGAGGAGCACGAAGGUUGGCUAAUCCUGGUCGGACAUCAGGAGGUUAGUGCAAUGGCAUAAGCCAGCUUGACUGCGAGCGUGACGGCGCGAGCAGGUGCGAAAGCAGGUCAUAGUGAUCCGGUGGUUCUGAAUGGAAGGGCCAUCGCUCAACGGAUAAAAGGUACUCCGGGGAUAACAGGCUGAUACCGCCCAAGAGUUCAUAUCGACGGCGGUGUUUGGCACCUCGAUGUCGGCUCAUCACAUCCUGGGGCUGAAGUAGGUCCCAAGGGUAUGGCUGUUCGCCAUUUAAAGUGGUACGCGAGCUGGGUUUAGAACGUCGUGAGACAGUUCGGUCCCUAUCUGCCGUGGGCGCUGGAGAACUGAGGGGGGCUGCUCCUAGUACGAGAGGACCGGAGUGGACGCAUCACUGGUGUUCGGGUUGUCAUGCCAAUGGCACUGCCCGGUAGCUAAAUGCGGAAGAGAUAAGUGCUGAAAGCAUCUAAGCACGAAACUUGCCCCGAGAUGAGUUCUCCCUGAGACUUAAAGUCUCCUGAAGGAACGUUGAAGACGACGACGUUGAUAGGCCGGG